rnacentral:rRNA from 1 species
UACGUAGGGGGCAAGCGUUGUCCGGAAUCAUUGGGCGUAAAGAGCGUGUAGGCGGCCCGAUAAGUCCGCUGUGAAAGUCCAGGGCUCAACCCUGGGAUGCCGGUGGAUACUGUCGGGCUCGAGUCCGGAAGAGGAGUGUGGAAUUCCUGAUGUAGCGGUGAAAUGCGCAGAUAUCAGGAGGAACACCAAUGGCGAAGGCAGCACUCUGGGACGUGACUGACGCUGAGACGCGAAAGCGUGGGGAGCAAACAGG